GUGAGCCACGGCUGGUUUUUCUCCCCCAUACAGCGCACUGCUCGGUCUCCUGAUUCCUCGAUGUAAUGGCUUGGGUCCAAGGAGGCGAGUCAAUGGCGCCGGCGCUCGCCGCACUGGGAAUCUCCCCGGCGGCCGUCUGCAGAUCCAACCAAGGCGCCGGCGACCCGUCCUCCGCAGUCAGGCCGAUCGAUGGAGGGUGGUCGGGGUCGGAUCUACCCUGCACUAUCCAAUCAUUACAUAAUGUGCACAUCGUUUUGCAUCCCCGGAUCCCAUUAUCAAACAGUCCGAGAUUCAAAAAUUUAAGAUUACAUGCCAUCUUACCUGCAUAAUGGCUGAUUACUGACAAACACCUGACGCUUGUUUGCUGCCCCAAACCUGACCCUAACCUUGCCUGCCAAAGAAACAAAUCCAUGAAUAAUCUCAGUCCUGCGGCGUCCAAUGGCUGGCGGCGCGAGAUGACCUGGGCGGCGGUGCCCGCCGUGGCCCGGCACUGGUCGUCCCCGGCGGCCCACCCGUCCCGGCGACUCCUCUUUCACCAGCCACUCCUGCCUCCCGCAAGGAUUUGGCUUCAGUUCAUGCUCUGCGAUCCUUGGACCCCCCUCCCCCGCCGCCUAGCAUGCUCCUGGAGGUACGAGUGGGGACGCAGACAUACCUUUGUCACGGGCCGCCUCCCCCCGUGUCCGAUAGUGCCUGAACUUUUCUCUAGCUGAACAGUACCCUAGGCUAUGAGAUAGGCAUAUCACGGGCGACGGGUACUACUAACCCACCCGAUGUAACCGUGGCCAUGCCAUCUUACGGUAAAGGCUGACGCAUAUCCCGAUGUAUAUGGACGACCCGGAUAAGAGGGCCGGGGUGCAGCUGUGCUAUUUUAUAUUUUCGCAGUUGCAGCAGCCCUUGUGUUUGCAGCAGCUUGGUUUUGAUCUGCUGGGAGUUGUGGCCGAGCUCAAGGCUGUCAACGUACGCAGCCACCAGGCCCUCGGACAGCUUCGUGAGCACCUUGCCGAGGAGCGAGCUGGUCGCGCCGACGGCCGCCUCCAUCUGCGCUUCGGUUCACCUUGCCGAGAUGAAGUGGUUGGGACUUGGGAAGUUUUUUUUCUUAUUCAGAGAGAAGUUGGGACUUGGGAGUUGAGAGCAGAGAUGGUAGCUAUCUAUCUAUGGCGCCUAUAUAUAUAUACACUGGUCUUCAACCUAAAAUAAUCAUGGAGCUUCACUCCUCGCAGGUCAGGUAAUGCACUUAUAAUAAACUACAUUUACUAAAAGCAGUGAGGAGACAAGAUUUGGAUCUCCUUUUUCUACAGGCCAGGCAAGGCAUCUACUUCUUUUUCUUUUUCAAGCAAGCUCCCAGAUCUAGGUACAAAGCACCCCACAAAAAAGGAGAAUUGCAAUUAGGCAAGGCAUCUACUUUAGCCACAUGGCAUUCAACUUCCUUCUCCCGAACGCUGACCUCUGUUCGUUUUUAUAUGUCAGAAAAAGUAGUUUUGGAUAGGGAAGCGGAAUCUUCUGCAGGAGACGGGUGCUUGACGAGAAAAAAUAUGGUCCGAUGUAAAAAGCUUAAAAAGUUGAAGUGAAGAGUAGAGAUGCAUAUGUA